rnacentral:rRNA from 1 species
UACGUAGGGACCAAGCGUUGUCCGGAAUCAUUGGGCGUAAAGAGCGUGUAGGCGGCUUGUUAAGUCUUGCGUGAAAUCUCGGGGCUCAACCCCGAGCGGUCGUGAGAAACUGGCAGGCUAGAGUGCGGGAGAGGAGAGUGGAAUUCCUGGUGUAGCGGUGAAAUGCGCAGAUAUCAGGAAGAACACCCGUGGCGAAGGCGGCUCUCUGGAACGCAACCGACGCUGAGACGCGAAAGCGUGGGGAGCAAACAGG